rnacentral:lncRNA from 10 species
GCAGCAUCAACACUGAGCAGAAUGGGAUAAGGAAGAAAAAAAAGUCCCUGAGAAGUUGUGGCUUCAGAAUGGCCCAAGAACAGUGUUGACACCCCCAGUGUAGAUAACUGGAUGAGUCAAGGAACAAGAAACCAGAACCAUGUUUGGAGAGGCUGUAACUGGAAGUGUCUGAGGGGUGCCUAACCAAAGCAAACACAGACCCUGGAAUCCAUGCAUUCAACUCAGGCCCAGGGGAAAUUCCCCAGUUAAAUGCAAAGGUCGGCCGGG